rnacentral:rRNA from 1 species
GACGAACGCUGGCGGCGUGCUUAACACAUGCAAGUCGAGCGAUGAAGCUCCUUCGGGAGUGGAUUAGCGGCGGACGGGUGAGUAACACGUGGGUAACCUGCCUCAUAGAGGGGAAUAGCCUUUCGAAAGGAAGAUUAAUACCGCAUAAGAUUGUAGCUUCGCAUGAAGCAGCAAUUAAAGGAGUAAUCCGCUAUGAGAUGGACCCGCGUCGCAUUAGCUAGUUGGUGAGGUAACGGCUCACCAAGACGACGAUGCGUAGCCGACCUGAGAGGGUGAUCGGCCACAUUGGGACUGAGACACGGCCCAGACUCCUACGGGAAGCAGCAGUGGGGAAUAUUGCACAAUAGGGGAAACCCUGAUGCAGCAACGCCGCGUGAGUGAUGACGGUCUUCGGAUUGUAAAACUCUGUCUUCAGGGACGAUAAUGACGGUACCUGAGGAGGAAGCCACGGCUAACUACGUGCCAGCCGCCGCGGUAA